GACGAACGCUGGCGGCGUGCUUAACACAUGCAAGUCGAACGGAAAGGCCCUGCUUUUGUGGGGUGCUCGAGUGGCGAACGGGUGAGUAACACGUGAGUAACCUGCCCCUGACUUUGGGAUAACUUCAGGAAACUGGGGCUAAUACCGGAUAGGAUCUCCUGCUGCAUGGUGGGGGUUGGAAAGUUUCGGCGGUUGGGGAUGGACUCGCGGCUUAUCAGCUUGUUGGUUGGGUAGUGGCUUACCAAGGCUUUGACGGGUAGCCGGCCUGAGAGGGUGACCGGCCACAUUGGGACUGAGAUACGGCCCAGACUCCUACGGGAGGCAGCAGUGGGGAAUAUUGCACAAUGGGCGGAAGCCUGAUGCAGCAACGCCGCGUGCGGGAUGACGGCCUUCGGGUUGUAAACCGCUUUCGCCUGUGACGAAGCGUGAGUGACGGUAAUGGGUAAAGAAGCACCGGCUAACUACGUG
rnacentral:rRNA from 1 species